AUUGAACGCUGGCGGCAUGCCUUACACAUGCAAGUCGAACGGCAGCACGGGAGCAAUCCUGGUGGCGAGUGGCGAACGGGUGAGUAAUAUAUCGGAACGUGCCCGGUCGUGGGGGAUAACGUAGCGAAAGCUACGCUAAUACCGCAUACGAUCUACGGAUGAAAGCGGGGGAUCGCAAGACCUCGCGCGAUUGGAGCGGCCGAUAUCAGAUUAGGUAGUUGGUGAGGUAAAGGCUCACCAAGCCGACGAUCUGUAGCUGGUCUGAGAGGACGACCAGCCACACUGGGACUGAGACACGGCCCAGACUCCUACGGGAGGCAGCAGUGGGAAUUUUGGACCAAAUGGGGCGCAAAGCCUGAUCCAGCAAUGCCGCGUGCAGGAUGAA
rnacentral:rRNA from 1 species